rnacentral:lncRNA from 10 species
GUCAUAUAUUUGUCUGUUUAAAUGUGUGAUGUCUGUCUUUGCAGUGUCGGGUCUACGAAACCAGGGACCAUGUCACGCUCACUACUGUAUCCAUAGCACCAGGCAUAGGGCCUGCACAUAGAAGGCAUUCACUAAAUAUGUGCACGAUUUAUAGUAUCCACAAUGUAGAAAUCUAAGAAUUAAUCUAGGAAUUAAUUAAUCUAGAAAUUAAUUUAACCAAGAAAACAAGAUACAAGAUAAGUGGUUAAUUUAACCAAUUAUCUAGGAAUUAAUGUAACCAAGAAUACAAUAGAUCUCUAUGUAGAAGAGUAUAACACUAACAUAAGGCAUAGAAGAUUGUGUGAAUAAGUAGAGAGACAUUCCUGUGCAUGAUUGAGCUGACUUAAUAUUAAAAACAUGACCUAAUGGUGGCCUCUUGAUACCUUCCCUCCACUCCCUCCAACCCCUGCUCCUCCCUCAGGCCUCCCUAUCUCAGCUGAUGGAGCCAGUUGCUCAAGAUAAAAACUUCAGCGUCACCUUUGAUUCCUCUCUUUCUUUCCCUCUCACAUGAUGUAUGCCACAAAACAGUCACUGUAUGUGAACCACAUUUGCUCACUGUCCUCCAGUUUCACUACAAUCACCCUGGGCCAAGGCACUAUCAUCAUACCCUUUAACUACUGCCCUAGCGUCCUUACUGAAUCACUCCCUGAACUCCCCAUGUGUUGGCCUCAUCAUCCCCCACAUCAAAAUCUGAAUGCUCUUUUACAAAUGUAAAUCGGAUCCUGUUACCCUUCUUCAAAACCCUCCUAUAGCUUCUCAGCAAAGCUGGAAUUCAAACUCCUUACCUUGACCUACAAAGUCUUACUCCACCUGGC